AUUGAACGCUGGCGGCAGGCCUAACACAUGCAAGUCGAACGAGCGGCGGACGGGUGAGUAAUGUCUGGGAAACUGCCUGAUGGAGGGGGAUAACUACUGGAAACGGUAGCUAAUACCGCAUACCAUCAGAUGUGCCCAGAUGGGAUUUGCUAGUAGGUGGGGUAAUGGCUCACCUAGGCGACGAUCCCUAGCUGGUCUGAGAGGAUGACCAGCCACACUGGAACUGGGACACGGUCCAGACUCGUACGGGAGGCAGCAGUGGGGAAUAUUGCACAAGGGGCGCAAGCCUGAUGCAGCCAUGCCGCGUGUAUGAAGAAGGCCUUCGGGUUGUAAAGUACUUUCAGCGAGGAGGCGUUAAUCGCAGAAGAAGCACCGGCUAACUCCGUGCCAGCGGCCGCGGUAAUAC
rnacentral:rRNA from 1 species